UUCAAUAUUCUGACACUGCUUAAAGUAUUUGGACUCAGCUUAAUAGUAGGUAUGGGACUGUGAAUGGUACCAAAAUAUUUGAGAUUAAGCAAGAGUUAGCAUCUACCAGUCAAGGAUCUUUAGAUAUAGCAUCUUACUUCAACAAGCUGAAGAGAUUGUGGGAUGAGUUGGUUUUUAUGCGUGCAUCUCGUGGUAGCACUUGUACAUGUGCUGCCAGACUCGAGCUUCAAAAGGAGGAUGACGAAAACAAGCUGCAUCAAUUUCUCAUGGGGCUUAACGAUACAUAUGUUGGAGUUAGGGGCAACCUCCACAUGCUGCAGCCUCCCCCAUCUCUAGACAGUGCGUACAACAUUCUGCUUCAGGAUGAGAGAGAAAGACAAGUUACAUCAUCACAUUCUCAAUUCCGUAGUGACUCCAGUGCUUUCAACACUUAUUUCACCAACAAAGUCCCUGGCACACCCGCUCGUUCUAAACAGUUCAACCAAAGAGUCAGCUUUGAUCUGAACAAGACAAACUUAGUGUGUAGAUAUUGCAAGAAACCUGGUCAUAUGAUUGACAAGUGCUACAACUGCCCAUCCUAAACAAUUCAUCAAAGAGUCAGCUUUGAUCUCAACAAGACAAACUUAGUGUGUAGAUAUUGCAAGAAACCUGGACAUAUGAUUGACAAGUGCUAUAAACUCCAUGGAUUCCAACCAGACUUCAAAUUUACAAGGAGCAAGAGGACUUCAGCAAAUGUUGAGGUGCAGGGAUGUCCGAACUCUGUUGGGUCUCCAAAC
rnacentral:lncRNA from 1 species